rnacentral:rRNA from 1 species
AGAGUUUGAUCCUGGCUCAGGAUGAACGCUAGCUACAGGCUUAACACAUGCAAGUCGAGGGGCAGCAUCAUCAAAGCUUGCUUUGAUGGAUGGCGACCGGCGCACGGGUGAGUAACACGUAUCCAACCUGCCGACAACACUGGGAUAGCCUUUCGAAAGAAAGAUUAAUACCGGAUGGCAUAGUUUUCCCGCAUGGGAUAAUUAUUAAAGAAUUUCGGUUGUCGAUGGGGAUGCGUUCCAUUAGGCAGUUGGCGGGGUAACGGCCACCAAACCUACGAUGGAUAGGGGUUCUGAGAGGAAGGUCCCCCCACAUUGGAACUGAGGCACGGUCCAAACUCCUACGGGAGGCA